AGCAGGCAAACGGGGUGCGCUGAGCGCUGAGAACACACCCGUGGAACCUGCUCUAGUUCGUGCUAGCGAAGGGAUUUUGUCAUAUGGCACUG
rnacentral:ncRNA from 2 species